GAUGAACGCUGGCGGCGUGCCUAAUACAUGCAAGUCGAGCGAACGGACGAGAAGCUUGCUUCUCUGAUGUUAGCGGCGGACGGGUGAGUAACACGUGGAUAACCUACCUAUAAGACUGGGAUAACUUCGGGAAACCGGAGCUAAUACCGGAUAAUAUUUUGAACCGCAUGGUUCAAAAGUGAAAGACGGUCUUGCUGUCACUUAUAGAUGGAUCCGCGCUGCAUUAGCUAGUUGGUAAGGUAACGGCUUACCAAGGCAACGAUGCAUAGCCGACCUGAGAGGGUGAUCGGCCACACUGGAACUGAGACACGGUCCAGACUCCUACGGGAGGCAGCAGUAGGGAAUCUUCCGCAAUGGGCGAAAGCCUGACGGAGCAACGCCGCGUGAGUGAUGAAGGUCUUCGGAUCGUAAAACUCUGUUAUUAGGGAAGAACAUAUGUGUAAGUAACUGUGCACAUCUUGACGGUACCUAAUCAGAAAGCCACGGCUAACUACGUGCCAGCAGCCGCGGUAAUACGUAGGUGGCAAGCGUUAUCCGGAAUUAUUGGGCGUAAAGCGCGCGUAGGCGGUUUUUUAAGUCUGAUGUGAAAGCCCACGGCUCAACCGUGGAGGGUCAUUGGAAACUGGAAAACUUGAGUGCAGAAGAGGAAAGUGGAAUUCCAUGUGUAGCGGUGAAAUGCGCAGAGAUAUGGAGGAACACCAGUGGCGAAGGCGACUUUCUGGUCUGUAACUGACGCUGAUGUGCGAAAGCGUGGGGAUCAAACAGGAUUAGAUACCCUGGUAGUCCACGCCGUAAACGAUGAGUGCUAAGUGUUAGGGGGUUUCCGCCCCUUAGUGCUGCAGCUAACGCAUUAAGCACUCCGCCUGGGGAGUACGACCGCAAGGUUGAAACUCAAAGGAAUUGACGGGGACCCGCACAAGCGGUGGAGCAUGUGGUUUAAUUCGAAGCAACGCGAAGAACCUUACCAAAUCUUGACAUCCUUUGACAACUCUAGAGAUAGAGCCUUCCCCUUCGGGGGACAAAGUGACAGGUGGUGCAUGGUUGUCGUCAGCUCGUGUCGUGAGAUGUUGGGUUAAGUCCCGCAACGAGCGCAACCCUUAAGCUUAGUUGCCAUCAUUAAGUUGGGCACUCUAAGUUGACUGCCGGUGACAAACCGGAGGAAGGGGGGGAUGACGUCAAAUCAUCAUGCCCCUUAUGAUUUGGGCUACACACGUGCUACCAUGGACAAUACAAAGGGCAGCGAAACCGUGAGGUCCAGCAAAUCCCAAAAAGUUUUCCCAGUUCGGAUGGUAGUCCGCAACUCGGCUACACGAAGCUGGAAUCGCUAGUAAUCGUAGAUCAGCAUGGUACGGUGAAUACGUUCCCGGG
rnacentral:rRNA from 1 species